AAAUUAUUUGGUCGGCAACACCGUUUCCACUUUGACGCUUUGCUUUGUUAUUAUUCGUUGAAAAUCUUUUAUCUGUUUGUAAACAUUCAAGUCGAUUAUGUCUUACAUAUGGUGAUAGUCGAUUAUUUGGAGUCAGCUUUCUGCUGCAGAAAACUACCGGUUUGUGAAUUUUCAUACAUGUUUUUACAGCAGCGUUUUUGCAAAUAUAACAGAGACCACCUUACAUACAAUACAUAAGCUACAGUUAGACUUCACAGACGAGCAAUUGCUGCGGAAGGUGUGUGUUGAAGAGCUAGGUGGCCCAACUAUUGUGGUUUUUAGAAACGAAAGCACAUAUGCGCGUAUUUCUACCAUUGUCUCAUGUGGUGCUACGGACAAUUUCAUAGGAGACAUGGAGCGUGUUGUGUAUGAUGGUGCAAAUACCUGUUUAACAUGUGACGGUCAUUAUGUGCCUAGUACUGCCACCUCUGAAAUCAAUUUGACUUCCGAACUGGCUGUCCACGUCGAUACCUUACCCCAUCUAGAACAAUAUGCUGUACGUAGAUGUAUGCGCAACACCUACACGAGCAAGUCCUCGCGCUUUAAGUCUACAAUUACAGAUAAGUUGUAAUGAUAUAUUUGUGAGUUAUUUUUAAGUUUUUGGUUUACAGGUUUUUGAUUUCUGCCUGAAGUAAGUGCAGCGUUCCAACACCUAUA